AUUGAACGCUGGCGGCAUGCCUUACACAUGCAAGUCGAACGGCAGCACGGGAGCAAUCCUGGUGGCGAGUGGCGAACGGGUGAGUAAUAUAUCGGAACGUGCCCGGUCGUGGGGAUAACGUAGCGAAAGCUACGCUAAUACCGCAUACGAUCUACGGAUGAAAGCGGGGGAUCGCAAGACCUCGCGCGAUUGGAGCGGCCGAUAUCAGAUUAGGUAGUUGGUGAGGUAAAGGCUCACCAAGCCGACGAUCUGUAGCUGGUCUGAGAGGACGACCAGCCACACUGGGACUGAGACACGGCCCAGACUCCUACGGGAGCAGCAGUGGGGAAUUUUGGACAAUGGGCGCAAGCCUGAUCCAGCAAUGCCGCGUGCAGGGAUGAAAGGCCUUCGGGUUGUAAACUAGCUUUGUUACGGAACG
rnacentral:rRNA from 1 species